CCUACGGGUGGCAGCAGUGAGGAAUAUUGGUCAAUGGACGGAAGUCUGAACCAGCCAUGCCGCGUGCAGGAAGAUGGCUUUAUGAGUUGUAAACUGCUUUUUUACAAGGGUAAACCUGAAUACGUGUAUUCAGCUGAAAUUACUGUACGAAUAAGGAUCGGGUAACUCCGUGCCAGCACCCGCGGUAUUACGGAGGAUCCAAGCGUUAUCCGGAUUUAUUGGGUUUAAAGGGUGCGUAGGCGGAUUGUUAAGUUAGAGGUGAAAUGUCCGGGCUUACGGCGGGAACUGCCUCUAAUACUGUUGAUCUAGAGAGUAGAUGCGGUAGGCGGAAUGUAUGGUGUAGCGGUGAAAUGCUUAGAGAUCAUACAGAACACCGAUUGCGAAGGCAGCUUACCAAUCUAUAUCUGACGUUGAGGCACGAAAGCGUGGGGAGCAAACAGGAUUAGAUACCCUGGUAGUC
rnacentral:rRNA from 1 species